GAUGAACGCUGGCGGCGUGCCUAAUACAUGCAAGUCGAGCGAACAGACGAGGAGCUUGCUCCCCUGACGUUAGCGGCGGACGGGUGAGUAACACGUGGAUAACCUAACUCUAAGACUGGGAUAACUUUGGGAAACCGGAGCUACUACCGGAUAAUAUAUUGACCUGCAUGGUUCAAUAGUGAAAGACGGUUUUUCUUUCACUUAUAGCUUGAUCCGCGCCCCAUUAGUUAGUUGGUAAGGUAACGGCUUACCAAAGCAACGACGCGUAGCCGACCUGAGCGCGUGGUCGGCCACCUGGGAUGUGAGGAACAGCCCACACUCUGGCGCUGGGAAACAGUAGAGAAUCUUACGCAAGGGGGGAAUGCCUGACAGAGCAACGCGGCGUGAGUGAUGAAGGUCUUAUGAUCGGAAAACGAUGUUAGUAGGGAGGAACAAAUGUGUAAGUAACUAGGAUCGUAUUGACGGUACCGAAUCAGAAAGCCACGGCUAACUACGUG
rnacentral:rRNA from 1 species